rnacentral:rRNA from 1 species
UACGUAGGGACCAAGCGUUGUUCGGAUUUACUGGGCGUAAAGGGCGCGUAGGCGGCGUGACAAGUCACUUGUGAAAUCUCCGGGCUUAACUCGGAACGGUCAAGUGAUACUGUCGUGCUAGAGUACAGAAGGGGCAACUGGAAUUCUCGGUGUAGCGGUGAAAUGCGUAGAUAUCGAGAGGAACACCUGCGGCGAAGGCGGGUUGCUGGGCUGACACUGACGCUGAGGCGCGAAAGCCAGGGGAGCGAACGGG